rnacentral:rRNA from 1 species
GCAAGUCGUGCGAGAAAGUUCUUCGGAUAUGAGUAGAGCGGCGGACGGGUGAGUAACGCGUAGGAAUCUACCUAGUAGAAGGGGAUAGCCCGGGGAAACCCGGAUUAAUACCGUAUACCUCCUUCGGGAGAAAGAAGGCCUCUCUUUGAAGCUUUCGCUACUAGAUGAGCCUGCGUAAGAUUAGCUUGUUGGUGAGGUAAAGGCUCACCAAGGCAACGAUCUUUAGCUGGUCUGAGAGGACGAUCAGCCACAUUGGGACUGAGACACGGCCCAGACUCCUACGGGAGGCAGCAGUGGGGAAUAUUGGACAAUGGGCGCAAGCCUGAUCCAGCCAUACCGCGUGUGUGAAGAAGGCCUUCGGGUUGUAAAGCACUUUAAGCAGGGAGAAAAAGUUAUAAGUUAAUACCUUAUAGCCUUGAUGUUGCCUGCAGAAUAAGCACCGGCUAAUUCCGUGCCAGCAGCCGCGGUAAUACGGAAGGUGCAAGCGUUAAUCGGAAUUACUGGGCGUAAAGCGCGCGUAGGUGGUUUGUUAAGUUGGAUGUGAAAGCCCUGGGCUCAACCUAGGAACUGCAUCCAAAACUAACUCACUAGAGUACGAUAGAGGGAGGUAGAAUUCAUAGUGUAGCGGUGGAAUGCGUAGAUAUUAUGAAGAAUACCAGUGGCGAAGGCGGCCUCCUGGAUCUGUACUGACACUGAGGUGCGAAAGCGUGGGUAGCGAACAGGAUUAGAUACCCUGGUAGUCCACGCCGUAAACGAUGACAACUAGCUGUUGGGAGACAAAGUCCUUCAGUGGCGCAGCUAACGCUUUAAGUUGUC